AUAUGGUAGGGGAGCGUUCUGUAGGCCUGUGAAGGUGACUUGUAAAGGUUGCUGGAGGUAUCAGAAGUGCGAAUGUUGACAUGAGUAGCGAUAAAGUGGGUGAAAAGCCCGCUCGCCGAAAGCCCAAGGUUUCCUACGCAACGUUCAUCGGCGUAGGGUGAGUCGGCCCCUAAGGCGAGGCAGAAAUGCGUAGUCGAUGGGAAACAGGUUAAUAUUCCUGUACUUUGAUUCAAUGCGAUGUGGGGACGGAGAAGGUUAGGUUAGCAAACUGUUGGAAUAGUUUGUUUAAGCCAGUAGGUGGAAAGAGUAGGCAAAUCCGCUCUUUCUUAACACCGAGACGUGAUGACGAGUGUCUACGGACAUGAAGUGACCAAUACCACGCUUCCAGGAAAAGCCACUAAGCUUCAGUUGAAUCAGAACCGUACCGCAAACCGACACAGGUGGGCAGGAUGAGAAUUCUAAGGCGCUUGAGAGAACUCGGGAGAAGGAACUCGGCAAAUUGAUACCGUAACUUCGGGAGAAGGUAUGCCCUCUAAUGUUAAGGACUUGCUCCGUAAGCAUCUGAGGGUCGCAGAGAAUCGGUGGCUGCGACUGUUUAUUAAAAACACAGCACUCUGCUAACACGAAAGUGGACGUAUAGGGUGUGACGCCUGCCCGGUGCUGGAAGGUUAAUUGAAGAUGUGCAAGCAUCGGAUCGAAGCCCCAGUAAACGGCGGCCGUAACUAUAACGGUCCUAAGGUAGCGAAAUUCCUUGUCGGGUAAGUUCCGACCCGCACGAAUGGCGUAACGAUGGCCACACUGUCUCCUCCCGAGACUCAGCGAAGUUGAAAUGGUUGUGAAGAUGCAAUCUCCCCGCUGCUAGACGGAAAGACCCCGUGAACCUUUACUGUAGCUUUGCAUUGGACUUUGAAGUCACUUGUGUAGGAUAGGUGGGAGGCUUUGAAGCAGAGACGCCAGUCUCUGUGGAGCCGUCCUUGA
rnacentral:rRNA from 1 species